rnacentral:rRNA from 1 species
AACGAACGCUAGCGGCAUGCCUAACACAUGCAAGUCGAACGAGACCUUCGGGUCUAGUGGCGCACGGGUGCGUAACGCGUGGGAACCUGCCCUUAGGUUCGGAUUAACUCCCCGAAAGGGGUGCUAAUACCGGAUAAUGUCUUCGGACCAAAGAUUUAUCGCCUUUGGAUGGGCCCGCGUUGGAUUAGCUAGUUGGUAGGGUAAAAGCCUACCAAGGCGACGAUCCAUAGCUGGUCUGAGAGGAUGAUCAGCCACACUGGGACUGAGACACGGCCCAGACUCCUACGGGAGGCAGCAGUGGGGAAUAUUGGACAAUGGGCGAAAGCCUGAUCCAGCAAUGCCGCGUGAGUGAUGAAGGCCUUAGGGUUGUAAAGCUCUUUUACCCGGGAUGAUAAUGACAGUACCGGGAGAAUAAGCUCCGGCUAACUCCGUG